rnacentral:rRNA from 1 species
AAAAGCGGAGGAAAAGAAACCAACAGGGAUUGCCUCAGUAACGGCGAGUGAAGCGGCAAAAGCUCAAAUUUGAAAUCCCCCCGGGGAGUUGUAAUUUGAAGAUUGCGUCUUGGAGGCGACCGUGUCUAUGUUCCUUGGAACAGGACGUCACAGAGGGUGAGAAUCCCGUGCGGCACGGCCCCCGGCUCCUUAUAAGGCGCUCUCGACGAGUCGAGUUGUUUGGGAAUGCAGCUCAAAGUGGGUGGUAAAUUCCAUCUAAAGCUAAAUACAGGCGAGAGACCGAUAGCGAACAAGUACAGUGAUGGAAAGAUGAAAAGCACUUUGAAAAGAGAGUGAAACAGCACGUGAAAUUGUUGAAAGGGAAGGGCAUGCCGUCAGAUUGUCAGUGUGGGUAAGAAGCGGGGUACAAAGACUGUGGAACGUGGCCCUCGGGUGUUAUAGCCGCAGUUCAUGCCCCGUCUCUUUCCGAGGCCUGCUUUGAGGACACCGACGUAAUGACGGUACGCCGCCCGUCUUGAACC